AGAGUUCGAUUCUGGCUCAGGACGAACGCUGGCGGCGUGCUUAACACAUGCAAGUCGAACGGGAUUUCUUCUAGCUUGCUAGGAGAAUGAGAGUGGCGAACGGGUGAGUAACGGGUGACCAACCUGCCCCCCGCACUGGAAUAGCUUUCGGAAACGGAAGGUAAUGCCAGAUGUCCUCUUCUUUCACAUGAAAGAAGAGAAAAGCGUAUGCGGCGAGGGAUGGGGUCGCCUCCUAUCAGCUAGAUGGUGGGGUAGAAGCCUACCAUGGCAACGACGGGUAGCCGGCCUAAGAGGGCGACCGGCCACAUUGGGACUGAGAUACGGCCCAGACUCCUACGGGAGGCAGCAGUGGGGAAUAUUGCGCAAUGGGGGAAACCCUGACGCAGCGACGCCGCGUGCGGGAUGAAGGCUUUCGGGUCGUAAACCGCUUUUACGAGGGAGCAAGCGAAAGUGAGAGUACCUCGCGAAUAAGGACCGGCUAACUACGUGCCAGCAGCCGCGGUAAUACGUAGGGUCCAAGCGUUGUCCGGAUUUAUUGGGCGUAAAGGGCUCGUAGGCGGUUGAUCGCGUCUGGUGUGAAAGUCCACUGCUUAACGGUGGAUUUGCGCUGGAUACGGGUCAACUUGAGUGCGGUAGAGGGGAAUGGAAUUCCAGGUGUAACGGUGGAAUGUGUAGAUAUCUGGAAGAACACCGAUGGCGAAGGCAGUUCCCUGGGCCGUUACUGACGCUGAGGAGCGAAAGCGUGGGGAGCAAACAGGAUUAGAUACCCUGGUAGUCCACGCUGUAAACGGUGGAUGCUUGAUGUGGGGACUUUCCACAGUCUCCGUGUCGGAGCUAACGUGUUAAGCAUCCCGCCUGGGGAGUACGGCCGCAAGGCUAAAACUCAAAGAAAUUGACGGGGGCCCGCACAAGCGGCGGAGCAUGCGGAUUAAUUCGAUGCAACGCGAAGAACCUUACCAGGGCUUGACAUGAGGCGGAAGAUGCUAGAAAUAGUAUUGUCCUUCGGGACCGCCCCACAGGUGGUGCAUGGUCGUCGUCAGCUCGUGUCGUGAGAUGUUGGGUCAAGUCCCGCAACGAGCGCAACCCUUGUCUCGUGUUGCCAGCGGAUAAUGCCGGGAACUCGCGAGAGACCGCCGGAGUUAAUCCGGAGGAAGGAGGGGAUGACGUCAGAUCAGCAUGCCCCUUACGUCCUGGGCUUCACGCAUGCUACAAUGGCCGACACAGCGAGAUGCAACAGCGCAAGCUUGAGCUAAUCUCUUAAAAUCGGUCUCAGUUCGGAUUGGGGUCUGAAACCCGACCCCAUGAAGGCGGAGUCGCUAGUAAUCGUGGAUCAGCAUUGCCACGGUGAAUGCGUUCCCGGGCCUUGUACACACCGCCCGUCAAGUCAUGAAAGUUGGUAACGCCCGAAGCCGGUAGCCUAACCUUUAUGGAGGGAGCCGUCUAAGGCGGGACUAGCGAUUGGGACUAAGUCGUAACAAGGUAGCCGUACCGGAAGGUGCGGCUG
rnacentral:rRNA from 1 species